CACGUAGGGGGCGAGCGUUGUCCGGAUUUAUUGGGCGUAAAGAGCUCGUAGGCGGUUCGUCGCGUCGGCUGUGAAAUCCCGAGGCUCAACCUCGGGUCUGCAGUCGAUACGGGCGGACUGGAGUACUGCAGGGGAGACUGGAAUUCCUGGUGUAGCGGUGAAAUGCGCAGAGUAUCAGGAGGAACACCGGUGGCGAAGGCGGGUCUCUGGGCAGUUGACUGACGCUGAGGAGUGAAAGCGUGGGGAGCGAACAGG
rnacentral:rRNA from 1 species